rnacentral:rRNA from 1 species
CCUACGGGGAGCAGCAGUGAGGAAUAUUGGUCAAUGGACGCAAGUCUGAACCAGCCAUGCCGCGUGCAGGAAGACGGCUCUAUGAGUUGUAAACUGCUUUUGUACGAGGGUAAACGCAGAUACGUGUAUCUGUCUGAAAGUAUCGUACGAAUAAGGAUCGGCUAACUCCGUGCCAGCAGCCGCGGUAAUACGGAGGAUUCAAGCGUUAUCCGGAUUUAUUGGGUUUAAAGGGUGCGUAGGCGGUCGGAUAAGUUAGAGGUGAAAUCCCGAGGCUCAACUUCGGAAUUGCCUCUGAUACUGUGCGGCUAGAGAGUAGUUGCGGUAGGCGGAAUGUAUGGUGUAGCGGUGAAAUGCUUAGAGAUCAUACAGAACACCGAUUGCGAAGGCAGCUUACCAAGCUACUUCUGAUGUUGAGGCACGAAAGCGUGGGGAGCAAACAGGAUUAGAUACCCGAGUAGUC